rnacentral:rRNA from 1 species
UUGUGUCCGCUAAGGUGGAACCUUGACGGAAGGACAUUAAAAGAAAAAACUACAAGUUUUUUUUAUAUCCCAUUGCUUUUACCUACCCUAUUGCUUCCACUGGACAUGUUUUUCCUUUUGUGUGAGAACCUUUGGCUUGUGUGAAUAACUCAGGCCAGAGAGUUGCCAGUGGUAAGACCAAUCUAUCAAAACUUGAUUUGAAACAAAUUGUCUGAAUCUUUUGCUUCAAUGAAAUAAAACUUUCAACAACGGAUCUCUAGGCUCUUGCAUCGAUGAAGAACGCAGUGAAAUGCGAUAAGUAAUGUGAAUUGCAGAAUCUCGUGAAUCAUCGAAUCUUUGAACGCACAUUGCGCCCUAUGGUAUUCCGUAGGGCAUGCCUGUCUGAGCGUCAGCUCCCUUCUACUCAAGUAUUCUUUUGCAAAUACUUGGAUAACUUUGGAGAGGUGACUUAUAAUAAAGAGUUGUCCUUCAGAAAUUCAUAGGCAGUAUGGUUUGUUCUUGAAUCAGACGUAAUAAUAAUAAAGUCGUUUGUUUGAGUAUAAUUGUGCUUGCCUUAACUCACUCAUUUAUAUCCUGGGUGACCUCAGAUCAGGUAGGGAUACCCGCUGAACUUAAGCAUAUCAAAUAAGCGGGAGGGAAAUA